rnacentral:rRNA from 1 species
UACGUAGGGCGCAAGCGUUAUCCGGAAUUAUUGGCGUAAAGAGCUCGUAGGCGGUUUGUCGCGUCUGCCGUGAAAGUCCGGGGCUCAACUCCGGAUCUGCGGUGGGUACGGGCAGACUAGAGUGAUGUAGGGGAGACUGGAAUUCCUGGUGUAGCGGUGAAAUGCGCAGAUAUCAGGAGGAACACCGGUGGCGAAGGCGGGUCUCUGGGCCGUUACUGACGCUGAGGAGCGAAAGCGUGGGGAGCGAACAGG